UUUGGACACUUCAACGGAAAAGCUCAAUCUGCCUUUUUUGUCACAGCGCCCCUAGUGGUUGAACCUCCCUGUACACGGGACCAGCUUCAGGAAACGCAACAACAGCCUGGGCCCUCUGAAGUACAGAGAACAGGACUUCCUGUCAUCUGAUCUCGAUCUCCAUUGACCGAGAAAAAAAUGGACAAUGAAGCAUGUGCUUUGUUCCGCCUUCCAAAAACAAAAAUGUUGGGCAUGACAGAAAAUGGUUGUACCAGCCAUUUCAAUUCUGACCUGAUCCUGUAGUGUGAAGGACAAACCAGUGGGGCAUGUUAGUGAAGGUGAUCAACCCUAUAGUGAGGGCUCUGGUUCAGCAGUGAAGAAUGUGCGUAGAGCAGUGGUCUCCAACCCUGGUCCUGGAGAGCUACAGGGUCUGCUGGUUUUUGUUUUCACCUUAAAAUCAGCACCCAGUUGAGACCCAAGACAGCAGGUGAGUUGAGUUAACUGUGUAAUCAACUGCUCUAAUUGAUUCAUGAAGUGCAGAGUCACUAUGGAAAUCAGCAGACCCUGCAGCUCUCCAGGACCAGGGUUGGAGACCACUGGCAUAGAGUCUACAGUGAGGAGCGAGGGUGCCCCAGCGAACCUGUCACACUACUUGCGACCAUGCUGCGUUUAGAUGGAGUAAGCCGAACCACGCCUGCCGGCGGCGUAGCCUAGCGGCGUCGGCCGCGGCCUCCAUCUUAGCUGCCUCGUCUCCCGUCGCCACGCGGAGCCAUUGUGCGAUGGUGAACAGAUGUUGCGGAAUUUCGAGCGAACUGCCAGUCGGCGCCAGCUCUGCCCCUCGCUUGGCGUCGGGCGCGGCGUACAGUCUGGCACGGGGCCUGGGAUGGGGCGGAGGGGGGGGUGGAGGAUUCUGAAGGAGAAAGCCAGGGCCGGCUGUGGAAGGAGUCCGAAAACAGCCCCUCGUCUCCCUCUCUCCCUCUCCCUCCCGCCAUUCGCGAGGGGAGGCCACGCGCCCGGCACGGACCGUCCCCCUGACCGUCGGCAGCACCAGCGCCCGUCGGAGGGCAGCGGUCAAGUCCCUGUUGCGGUUCCACAGCAAAACCGCCACCCCUGGAUACUCACGAACACAGAUCCUCCCUUCCCUUGUAUGUCAUUCCAACUGUCACUUAUGCUAUUGAAGGAAAUUAAAAUGCCUCUGUUAUCCCCCGUUUUUAAAUGUUUCAACUUGUGGUUAAUAGAUUUGUGGUUAAGGAAGGUGAACUAGGUCACUGGGGCAGUAACUAGUGCUGACCCAAUACCUUCCUGCAGUCUAAAUAGCAGUACCAGUCCCAGUGUUUCCCCUUAAUUUUAUGGCGUCAGAGUAGAUACUCUCAUAACACGGGAAUGCAGUGCUUCGUUGCUAUACUUUGAUGCCUA